ACCAGACUCCUACGGGAGGCAGCAGUGGGGAAUAUUGCGCAAUGGGCGAAAGCCUGACGCAGCGACGCCGCGUGAGCGAUGAAGUAUUUCGGUAUGUAAAGCUCUAUCAGCAGGGAAGAAAAUGACGGUACCUGACUAAGAAGCCCCGGCUAACUACGUGCCAGCAGCCGCGGUAAUACGUAGGGGGCAAGCGUUAUCCGGAUUUACUGGGUGUAAAGGGAGCGUAGACGGCUGUGCAAGCCAGGGGUGAAAGCCCGGGGCCCAACCCCGGGACUGCCCUUGGAACUGCUUGGCUGGAGUGCGGGAGGGGCAGGCGGAAUUCCUGGUGUAGCGGUGAAAUGCGUAGAUAUCAGGAGGAACACCGGCGGCGAAGGCGGCCUGCUGGACCGCGACUGACGUUGAGGCUCGAAAGCGUGGGGAGCGAACAGGAUUAGAUACCCCAGUAUG
rnacentral:rRNA from 1 species